GACGAACGCUGGCGGCGUGCUUAACACAUGCAAGUCGAACGGAAAGGCCCUGCUUUUGUGUGGUGCUCGAGUGGCGAACGUGUGAGUAACACGUGAGUAACCUGCCCUGGACUUUGGGAUAACUUCAGGAAACUGGGGCUAAUACCGGAUAGGAGCUCCUGCCGCAUGGUGGUGGUUGGAAAGUUUCGGUGGUUGGGGAUGGACUCGCGGCUUAUUAGCUUGUUGGUGGGGUAGUGGCUUACCCAGGCUUUGACGGGUAGCCGGCCUGAGAGGGUGACCGGCCACAUUGGGACUGAGAUACGGCCCAGACUCCUACGGGAGGCAGCAGUGGGGAAUAUUGCACAAUGGGCGGAAGCCUGAUGAAGCAACGCCGCGUGCGGGAUGACGGCCUUCGGGUUGUAAACCGCUUUCGCCUGUGACGAAGCGUGAGUGACGGUAAUGGGUAAAGAAGCACCGGCUAACUACGUG
rnacentral:rRNA from 1 species